AUACGUAGGUGGCAAGCGUUAUCCGGAAUUAUUGGGCGUAAAGCGCGCGCAGGCGGUUUCUUAAGUCUGAUGUGAAAGCCCACGGCUCAACCGUGGAGGGUCAUUGGAAACUGGGAAGCUUGAGUGCAGAAGAGGAGAGUGGAAUUCCAUGUGUAGCGGUGAAAUGCGUAGAGAUAUGGAGGAACACCAGUGGCGAAGGCGACUCUCUGGUCUGCAACUGACGCUGAGGCGCGAAAGCGUGGGGAGCGAACAGGAUUAGAUACCCUGGUAGUCCACGCUGUAAACGAUGAGUGCUAGGUGUCGGGGGGUCCAACCCUCGGUGCUGUCGCUAACGCACUAAGCACUCCGCCUGGGGAGUACGGUCGCAAGACUGAA
rnacentral:rRNA from 1 species